rnacentral:rRNA from 1 species
GAUGAACGCUGGCGGCGUGCCUAAUACAUGCAAGUCGAGCGAACAGGCGAGGAGCUUGCUCCUCUGACGUUAGCGGCGGACGGGUGAGUAACACGUGGAUAACCUACCUAUAAGACUGGGAUAACUUCGGGAAACCGGAGCUAAUACCGGAUAAUAUAUUGAACCGCAUGGUUCAAUAGUGAAAGACGGUUUUGCUUUCACUGAUAGAUGGAUCCGCGCCGCAUUAGCUAGUUGGUAAGGUAACGGCUUACCAAGGCAACGAUGCGUAGCCGACCUGAGAGGGUGAUCGGCCACACUGGAACUGAGACACGGUCCAGACUCCUACGGGAGGCAGCAGUAGGGAAUCUUCCGCAAUGGGCGAAAGCCUGACGGAGCAACGCCGCGUGAGUGAUGAAGGUCUUCGGAUCGUAAAACUCUGUUAUUAGGGAAGAACAAAUGUGUAAGUAACUAUGCACGUCUUGACGGUACCUAAUCAGAAAGCCACGGCUAACUACGUG